AUAACAAACAAAAAAAAUCCAGAAAACGCAUGUCAAAAAUGUUAUAAAAUUAUUUGCAUUUUAAUGAGGGAAAUAAGUAUUUGACCCCUCUGCAAAACAUGACUUAGUACUUGGUGGCAAAACCCUUGUUGGCAAUCACAGAGGUCAGACGUUUCUUGUAGUUGGCCACCAGGUUUGCACACACCUCAAGAGGGAUUUUGUCCCACUCCUCUUUGCAGAUCUUCUCCAAGUCAUUAAGGUUUCGAGGCUGACGUUUGGCAACUCAAACCUUCAGCUCCCUCCACAGAUUUUCUAUGGGAUUAAGGUCUGGAGACUGGCUAGGCCACUCCAGGACCUUAAUGUGCUUCUUCUUGAGCCACUCCUUUGUUGCCUUGGCCGUGUGUUUUGGGUCAUUGUCAUGCUGGAAUACCCAUCCACGACCCAUUUUCAAUGCCCUGGCUGAGGGAAGGAGGUUCUCACCCAAGAUUUGACGGUACAUGGCCCCGUCCAUCGUCCCUUUGAUGCGGUGAAGUUGUCCUGUCCCCUUAGCAGAAAAACACCCCCAAAGCAUAAUGUUUCCACCUCCAUGUUUGACAGUGGGGAUGGUGUUCUUCGGGUCAUAGGCAGCAUUCAUCCAUGGCGAGUUGAGUUGAUGCCAAAGAGCUCCAUUUUGGUCUCAUCUGACCACAACACUUUCACCAGUUGUCCUCUGAAUCAUUCAGAUGUUCAUUGGCAAACUUCAGACGGGUAUGUAUAUGUGCUUUCUUGAGCAGGGGGACCUUGCAGGAUUUCAGUCCUUCACGGCGUAGUGUGUUACCAAUUGUUUUCUUGGUGACUAUGGUCCCAGCUGCCUUGAGAUCAUUGACAAGAUCCUCCCCGUAUAGUUCUGGGCUGAUUCCUCGCCGUUCUCAUGAUCAUUGCAACUCCACGAGGUGAGAUCUUGCAUGGAGCCCCAGGCCGAGGGAGAUUGACAGUUCUUUUGUGUUUCUUCCAUUUGCGAAUAAUCUCACCAACUGUUGUCACCUUCUCACCAAGCUGCUUGGCGAUGGUCUUGUAGCCCAUUCCAGCCUUGUGUACGUCUACAAUCUUGUCCCUGACAUCCUUGGAGAGCUCUUUGGUCUUGGCCAUGGAGGAGAGUUUGGAAUCUGAUUGAUUGCUUCUGUGGACAGCUCGUUACCUGUAUAAAAGACACCUGGGAGCCAGAAAUCUUUCUGAUUGAGAGGGGGUCAAAUACUUAUUUCCCUCAUUAAAAUGCAAAUCAAUUUAUAACAUUUUUGACAUGCGUUUUUCUGGAUUUUGUUGUUGUUAUUCUGUCUCUCACUGUUCAAAUAAACCUACCAUUAAAAUUAUAGACUGAUCAUUUCUUUGUCAGUGGGC
rnacentral:lncRNA from 1 species